rnacentral:rRNA from 1 species
ACUUAGUGGCGAACGGGUGAGUAACCCGUGAGUAACCUGCCUUCAAGAGGGGGACAACAGUUGGAAACGACUGCUAAUACCGCAUAAUAUAACGAAGCCGCAUGACUUUGUUAUCAAAGGAGCAAUCCGCUUGAAGAUGGACUCGCGUCUGAUUAGAUAGUUGGUGGGGUAACGGCCUACCAAGUCGACGAUCAGUAGCCGGACUGAGAGGUCGAUCGGCCACAUUGGGACUGAGACACGGCCCAGACUCCUACGGGAGGCAGCAGUGGGGGAUAUUGGUCAAUGGGGGAAACCCUGAACCAGCGACGCCGCGUGAGGGAAGAAGGUCGUUAGAUUGUAAACCUCUGUCGUUAGGGAAGAAAAUGACGGUACCUAACAAGGAAGCACCGGCUAACUACGUGCCAGCAGCCGCGGUAAUACGUAGGGUGCAAGCGUUAUCCGGAAUCACUGGGUGUAAAGGGAGUGUAGGCGGGAAAGCAAGUUGAAUGUGAAAUCUAUCGGCUCAACCGGUAGGCUGCGUUCAAAACUGUUUUUCUUGAGUGAAGUAGAGGCAGGCAGAAUUCCUAGUGUAGCGGUGAAAUGCGCAGAUAUUAGGAGGAAUACCGGUGGCGAAGGCGGCCUGCUGGGCUUUUACUGACGCUGAGGCUCGAAAGUGUGGGGAGCAAACAGGAUUAGAUACCCUGGUAGUCCACACUGUAAACGAUGAUUACUAGGUGUGGGGGGACUGGCCCCUUCCGUGCCGGAGUUAACACAAUAAGUAAUCCACCUGGGGAGUACGACCGCAAGGUUGAAACUCAAAGGAAUUGACGGGGCCCCGCACAAGCAGUGGAGCAUGUGGUUUAAUUCGAAGCAACGCGAAGAACCUUACCAGGUCUUGACAUCCGACUAACGAAGUAGAGAUACAUUAGGUGCCCUUCGGGGAAAGUCGAGACAGGUGGUGCAUGGUUGUCGUCAGCUCGUGUCGUGAGAUGUUGGGUUAAGUCCCGCAACGAGCGCAACCCUUACUAUUAGUUGCUACGCAAGAGCACUCUAAUGGGACUGCCGUUGACAAAACGGAGGAAGGUGGGGAUGACGUCAAAUCAUCAUGCCCUCUAUGACCUGGGCCACACACGUGCUACAAUGGCUGUAAACAGAGGGAAGCCACUACGCGAGUAGGAGCAAAUCCCAAAAAGCAGUCUCAGUUCGGAUUGCAGGCUGAAACCCGCCUGUAUGAAGUUGGAAUUGCUAGUAAUCGCAGAUCAGAAUGCUGCGGUGAAUACGUUCCCGGGGCUUGCACACACCGCCCGUCAA